rnacentral:rRNA from 1 species
GUUGUAUAGUCAAGUAAUUAAGUGCAUGUGGUGGAUGCUUGGCAGUCAGAGGCGAUGAAAGACGUGAUAGCCUGCGAAAAGCUCCGGGGAGGCGGCAAAUAUCCUUUGAUCCGGAGAUGUCUGAAUGGGGGAACCCACCUACUUUAAGGUAGGUAUUGCAACAUGAAUACAUAGUGUUGCAAGGCGAACGAGGGGAAGUGAAACAUCUCAGUACCCUUAGGAAAAGAAAUCAAUUGAGAUUCCCUCAGUAGCGGCGAGCGAACGGGGAUCAGCCCAUUAAGUUAUGUGUGUUUUAGUGGAACGCUCUGGGAAGUGCGAACGUAGAGGGUGAUAUUCCCGUACACGAAAGGGCACACAUAAUGAUGACGAGUAGGGCGAGGCACGUGAAACCUUGUCUGAAUAUGGGGGGACCAUCCUCCAAGGCUAAAUACUCCUGACUGACCGAUAGUGAACCAGUACCGUGAGGGAAAGGCGAAAAGAACCCCUGUGAGGGGAGUGAAAUAGAUCCUGAAACCGCAUGCAUACAAGCAGUGGGAGCACCUUCGUGGUGUGACUGCGUACCUUUUGUAUAAUGGGUCAGCGACUUAUAUUCAGUAGCGAGGUUAACCGUAUAGGGGAGCCGUAGAGAAAUCGAGUCUUAAUAGGGCGUUUAGUUGCUGGGUAUAGACCCGAAACCAGGCGAUCUAUCCAUGAGCAGGUUGAAGGUUGGGUAACACUAACUGGAGGACCGAACCCACUGUCGUUGAAAAGCCAGGGGAUGACUUGUGGAUAGGGGUGAAAGGCUAAUCAAGCCUGGUGAUAGCUGGUUCUCCCCGAAAGCUAUUUAGGUAGCGCCUCGGACGAAUACCAUAGGGGGUAGAGCACUGUUUCGGCUAGGGGGUCAUCCCGACUUACCAAACCGAUGCAAACUCCGAAUACCUAUGAGUACUAUCCGGGAGACAGACUGCGGGUGCUAACGUCCGUAGUCAAGAGGAAAACAAUCCAGACCGCCAGCUAAGGCCCCAAAAUCAUAGUUAAGUGGGAAACGAUGUGGGAAGGCAUAGACAGCUAGGAGGUUGGCUUAGAAGCAGCCACCCUUUAAAGAAAGCGUAAUAGCUCACUAGUCGAGUCGGCCUGCGCGGAAGAUGUAACGGGGCUAAAACUAUGUGCCGAAGCUGCGGAU